rfam:TPA: Bos taurus chromosome 6, whole genome shotgun sequence.
UCCCUGGUGGCUCAGAAGGUAAAGAAUCUACCUGCAAUGUGGGAGACCUGGAUUCAAUCCCCAGCUUGGGAA